AGUAAGAUGGCGGCGAAAGCAGACGCCGAGUCGAUAAAGAAUGACAAUGCACUACAGUCUCGAUUUCCAACAAGUUAUAAAGGAAAUGUUGCUGUCCAACCAACUUAUGAAGAGGUAAGCGGCCAAACCCGAUGUUACUGUCAGGCGUUUUCAAGCUUUGUUAGAAGCGUCUUUUUCGAUGUGUAGCGGUAUAGAAGACGCAGUUUACAGCUCGAUAAAUUCAGAACACAGAUAGAGCCAGUUGUUUUCGUUGAUCGAACAACUUUUGAUAUGAAGUACAAACAUUAAAGUAAGCUCGUUACUAAAACUUAAAAAUAAAUAUGAUGCUUCAAGUGUUAUGUAAAUACUUAGGAUCUUUCAAAAGUAUGAAAUACUAUGUAUAAAUGAAAUGAUAUUAUUAUUAUUAUUAACCACAACAAAUAAUGAAUCUCAGAACUUAAAAUAGUGGGAUGUAAAUAAUACUAUAAACAUUAGUAAGUUUAUCAACAUUCUGAUCACAAGUUUUACUGACGCAUUCAUAAAAUUUGUUGUUUUAAAGUAAUACAUACAACUUUACUAUUUCUCUUUCUUUGUCAUUGUCAAUCGGGCCACAUUUCCAAGUACAUGUAUUAAAAUAUUUUUAUCUGUAAA